AUGAUUUGCAAACAAUUUCUUUACAAAGUAAAAAAUCAAGAGCAAAGCACAGUCUCUAGACUCUUAUUGUUAAUCCAACUCCAUUCACUUUUCCUUUCGUUUGAUAACUUAACGUAUAUUGGUCCUAAUUUUCCUCGUUAGGUUUCCUCUUUUGAUACCUUUUGCCAUCUUCGAUCUAUUGUUGUUUUUCUAGUUAAAUUGAUCCUAGUUUUAAAUUGCUGUUUGCGAUAUGCGUGUUAUUAAAGUAAGAUUUCACUAAGAAGGAAGAUCUUUUGAUGAAUUGUUAGAUCUGUGUUUGUUGUUCUACGGUUUAUUCAGUUUUUGUUAAUUUUUGCUGAAAAUUGAUUGUAAAUCUAGGUUAGUUUCUUUGAGAACCAAUGGAGGGAUUGCGAUCUCCAACAAGACUCAGGAGAUUGAAGAGUGGUGAGAUGAAAGAUAGGCCUUGAAUUUAAUUAAAUCCUCCAAACGAUGGACAAAAAGAUAAGAUUCUCUCCUAAGAGGAGGCAGGCUAGGGUGGACAACCCUUUCAAUGUUUUGCGAUUUGUAUGAAAAUUUUAUGCAAGAUAUGAGUACUUUCUAUUUCUCCUAUAUUUAAUUAAAUUUUAUGCAAGAUAUGAGUACUUUUUUUUAGUGAAUAUGAGUUCUUUCUAUUCCUUCUAUUUAAUAAAAUUUGCCCUUUCUGAUUAUAAAAGAAUAUAUGUACGGAUAUCUGAAAGAUCUUUUUUUUUUUCCCUUGCAGACACUUCGAUCAGGUGACUGGCACCGUAAGUGUAGUCCUUGCAAAUUUUGUGGGUUGCAUGAUGGAAAGCAAAAGGACAGCUCUGAAGUCCUGUCUCAAGUCCAUUGGAGCCAAUACUGCUCAUUCUUAACAGGAUUCUUAUAUAUGUGGAAACAAUUGUAAAAGAGAAAUGAUGAGAUUAUCAGCGUUGCAUCUAUCAGAAUAGAAUUGAUUUCAAGUGUCAAGUGCUUCCAAGUGUCUGGAUUGACUUAUACUAUCAGUGAAUUUGGAUCACUAAAACGCCGAG